rnacentral:lncRNA from 1 species
CGCAAAAUGCCAUGCAAGGGGUCCUGAACCACUUUUCAUCGAAGUCAAGAAAUGCAUCUGAAGUUAAAGUAGACUAUUUCAGAAAUACUUUCCCACAAAAAGUACUUUAAUUAAUGCAGUCAGA